UACGUAGGGGGCUAGCGUUGUCCGGAAUCAUUGGGCGUAAAGCGCGUGUAGGCGGUCCGGUAAGUCCGCUGUGAAAGUCGGGGGCUCAACCCUCGGAUGCCGGUGGAUACUGUCGGGCUUGAGUACGGAAGAGGCGAGUGGAACUCCUGGUGUAGCGGUGAAAUGCGCAGAUAUCAGGAGGAACACCAAUUGCGAAGGCAGCUCGCUGGGACGUUACUGACGCUGAGACGCGAAAGCGUGGGGAGCAAACAGG
rnacentral:rRNA from 1 species